GUUAAGACAAGAUGGCUACUAUUGCUAAAGUGUAGUGUAAAACAACAUUAUUCAGUAAUAUCUGAAAUAUGACAAGAUUAUACCUCCAGAUUAUUAAACAGUUUAAAAGGGGGGUAUGAUUAGUAAAGAGUUGGAAAAUUAAAAUGUUCAGAAAGAUAUUCUGAUAAAAGGAAAAUUGAAGGUUAUACAUCACAUGGCACAAAUUUAAUGAUCACAAGAUGAUAGAUCUCACUAUAAGAAAUGAGAAUAUUUUGGAGUCUACGUAAUUUAAUGUUAAACUGUAUAAUAAUACGAGUGAGUUGUAAAUGAUGUAAGCCACUGUGUUGAUGCUGCACAUGUUUUUUGUUUUAAUGUAGGUAAAGCGUGACAGAUCAUUGUUGUGACAAUAAAUUAGGAAAGCAUUUCAUUAGACAACUGGACAUCGGCUGUUGGAAAGAGACUUUUCAUAUGACCUGCAAACUGUGAUGGAAGAUUCUACAGACUUAAUUUGAUACAGAAGAUCAACAGACUUAAACAGGAAUAAAUUAUUAACACUAACAUACAUAUCAAUUCCUAAAUAUUAACCAAGAAGAAAACGGACAAUGAAAAGUUAUUUAUCAGUUAUGAGUGUAUUAAUACCAAGAUAGAGUAUUUAUAAAUGCGUAACACAUGAAGUAAAAUCACAAAAGCAUAGUAUUAUGAAGAGAACUAUUACAUUAUGACCUAUAUAUAUGAUGAGUAGUGUAA